rnacentral:rRNA from 1 species
GGCGCACGGGUGAGUAACGCGUGGGGACCUACCUCUUAGUGGGGGAUAACGGUUGGAAACGACCGCUAAUACCGCAUACGCCCUUCGGGGGAAAGAUUUAUCGCUAAGAGAUGGACCCGCGUUGGAUUAGAUAGUUGGUGAGGUAACGGCUCACCAAGUCAGCGAUCCAUAGCUGGUUUGAGAGGAUGAUCAGCCACACUGGGACUGAGACACGGCCCAGACUCCUACGGGAGGCAGCAGUGGGGAAUAUUGGACAAUGGGGGCAACCCUGAUCCAGCCAUGCCGCGUGAGUGAAGAAGGCCUUCGGGUUGUAAAGCUCUUUCAGAUGCGAAGAUGAUGACGGUAACAUCAGAAGAAGCCCCGGCUAAUUUCGUGCCAGCAGCCGCGGUAAUACGAAAGGGGCUAGCGUUGUUCGGAUUUACUGGGCGUAAAGGGCACGCAGGCGGUCUUGCCAGUCAGGGGUGAAAGCCCGGGGCUCAACCCCGGAACUGCCUCUGAUACUGCAAGACUAGAGACUAGGAGAGGGUGGUGGAAUUCCC